rnacentral:rRNA from 1 species
ACGUAGGGGGCUAGCGUUAUCCAGAUUUACUGGGCGUAAAGCGCGUGUAGGCGGCUGGUUAGGUGUGAUGUGAAAUCCUCGGGCUCAACCCGAGAACUGCAUUGCAAACCGGCCUGGCUAGAGUGCAGGAGAGGGAAGCGGAAUUCCAGGUGUAGCGGUGAAAUGCGUAGAUAUCUGCAGGAACACCCGUGGCGAAAGCGGCGCGCUGGACCACAACUGACGCUGAAUGACGAAAGCUAGGGGAGCAAACAGGA